AGUGAACGCUGGCGGUAGGCCUAACACAUGCAAGUCGAACGGCAGCACAGGAGAGCUUGCUCUCUGGGUGGCGAGUGGCGGACGGGUGAGGAAUACAUCGGAAUCUACUCUGUCGUGGGGGAUAACGUAGGGAAACUUACGCUAAUACCGCAUACGACCUACGGGUGAAAGCAGGGGACCUUCGGGCCUUGCGCGAUUGAAUGAGCCGAUGUCGGAUUGGCUAGUUGGCGGGGUAAAGGCCCACCAAGGCGACGAUCCGUAGCUGGUCUGAGAGGAUGAUCAGCCACAAUGGAACGGAGACACGGUCCAGACUCCUACGGGAGGCAGCAGUGGGGAAUAAUGGACAAUGGGCGCAAGCCUGAUCCAGCCAUACCGCGUGGGUGAAGAAGGCCUUCGGGUUGUAAAGCCCUUUUGUUGGGAAAGAAAUCCAGCUGGCUAAUACCCGGUUGGGAUGACGGUACCCAAAGAAUAAGCACCGGCUAACUUCGUGCCAGCAGCCGCCGCCG
rnacentral:rRNA from 1 species